GCAGCCGGGUGCUGAGUCCCGGGCGAGCUCACACGCGGCGGUUCGCAGCUCUCGCUGUCCCUAACUUGGCUUCCGUGGCAUCACCCCCACCCGGAAACCUCCACAGCCAUCAAGAAUUGAUCCGUGAUGGUGGGAAAACAGAACGGAACUAACCACCCCAACCUCCCCCAUAGCUGACAACUGGCUUUUAUCUCCAAUUGUUUGGAGUCCUGUGAGGAGUCAGCAAAGCAUGUGGACAAGAGACAUCCAGCUGGUGUUUCCUACUUGGGUUUCUAAAAGGUGUUCAACAAAAUCUGUGAGCAAAACCUUCUGAAGGAACUGUAGAAUAAGAGAAGUUUUCAUGUGGAUAGAUGACACUGCAUCAAAGACAGGUCUCUGUAAGACAGAACAAAACUAUUUCUUCGUGGAUUCAGCCAACAUUCAAAGCUCCACAAGGAUCUGAUUUGGAGCCUGUGGACCGAAAGCAAAUGUAGUAAAACAUCACAAUACAAAAUCUUUUGCUGAUAAGGUUGUUCUUUGGAGCUGCAUCCGGGAGCCCUUCCAGGCAGAGGUGGGCUGGUGACCCAGUGAGGUGCUGAAGUGAAACCAACACCACCCAUUCUUCUCAUUUGGAACCAGCGGAUGUUCACAAGGGACCUGGAAUUAUAUCAACAGGAUAUCAUGGGAAAACAAAAGAAGGCUGGAACUAGCAUGUGGACAAUGUAGCUUUAUCAUUUCCAAUUAAGGAGCUCUUGUUCUGUGGAGUGCUGUCCUGUCCCCUGCCACCCCUGGCAUCUUUAGUCUGCACAACAACAGAUUUUCAGCUCUUCUUCACUGAUUAGAUUUGAGCUCUGUUUUUAUACAAAUGUUUUGUAUCUUGGUCUAUUGGCUAUGGACAACCAGCUGCAACAUUAAAGGAGUAAUUUUAAUUCUGA